GUCUGAGUGGUGUAGAGGUUAUCACGUUAGUCUCAUACACUAAAGGUCCCCAGUUCGAAACUGGGCUCAGACA